GCCUUUGUGGUGGAAUGGUAGACACACAUGACUUAAAAUCAUGUGCCAAAAGCGUACCGGUUCGAGUCCGGUUGAAGGUA
rnacentral:tRNA from 1 species